rnacentral:rRNA from 1 species
AUUGAACGCUGGCGGCAUGCCUUACACAUGCAAGUCGAACGGUAACGGGCCUUCGGGUGCCGACGAGUGGCGAACGGGUGAGUAAUGCAUCGGAACGUACCUUUCAGUGGGGGAUAACGUAGCGAAAGUUACGCUAAUACCGCAUAUUCUGUGAGCAGGAAAGCAGGGGAUCGCAAGAACUUGCGCUGAUUGAGCGGCCGAUGUCAGAUUAGCUAGUUGGUGAGGUAAAGGCUCACCAAGGCGACGAGCUGUAGCGGGUCUGAGAGGAUGAUCCGCCACACUGGAACUGAGACACGGUCCAGACUCCUACGGGAGGCAGCAGUGGGGAAUUUUGGACAAUGGGGGCAACCCUGAUCCAGCCAUGCCGCGUGAGUGAAGAAGGCCUUCGGGUUGUAAAGCUCUUUCGGUCGGGAAGAAAUCGCAUGGGUUAAUACCCUGUGCGGAUGACGGUACCGGCAUAAGAAGCACCGGCUAACUACGUGCCAGCCGCCGCCGUAAUAC